rnacentral:rRNA from 1 species
GAUGAACGCUGGCGGCGUGCCUAAUACAUGCAAGUCGAGCGAACAGACGAGGAUCUUGCGCCGCUGACGUUAGCGGCGGACGGGUGAGUAACACGUGGAUAACCUACCUAUAAGACUGGGAUAACUUCAGGAAACCGGAGCUAAGGCCGGGUAAUAUAUUGAACCGCGUGGUUCGAUAGUGAAAUACGGUUGUGCUGUCACUGAUAGAUGGAUCCGCGCCGCAGUAGCUAGUGGGUAAGGUAACGGCCUACCAAGGCGACGAUGCGUAGCCGACCGGAGAGACUGAUAGGCCACCCUGGAACUGAGACACCGACCAGACUACUACGGGACGCCGCAGUCGCGAAUCUUCCGCAGUGGGCGAAAGCCUGACGCAGUAACGCCGCGCGAGUGACGACGGUCUUCCGAUCGUAAAACCCUGUUACUAGUGAAGAACCACUGUCUACGUAAAUAUGCCCGUCUUGACGGUACCUAAUCAGAAAGCCCCGGCUAACUACGUG